rnacentral:rRNA from 1 species
UACGUAGGGUGCGAGCGUUAAUCGGAAUUACUGGGCGUAAAGCGUGCGCAGGCGGUUCGCAAAGUCUGAUGUGAAAGCCCCGGGCUCAACCUGGGAACUGCAUUGGAAACUAACGGGCUCGAGUGUAGCAGAGGGGGGGUGGAAUUCCACGUGUAGCAGUGAAAUGCGUAGAGAUGUGGAGGAACACCGAUGGCGAAGGCAGCCCCCCUGGGCUAACACUGACGCUCAGGCACGAAAGCGUGGGGAACAAACAGG